UACGGAGGGUGCAAGCGUUAUCCGGAUUCACUGGGUUUAAAGGGUGCGUAGGUGGAGAGGUAAGUCAGUGGUGAAAUCUCCGGGCUUAACCCGGAAACUGCCAUUGAUACUAUCUUUCUUGAAUAUCGUGGAGGUGAGCGGAAUAUGUCAUGUAGCGGUGAAAUGCUUAGAUAUGACAUAGAACACCAAUUGCGAAGGCAGCUGGCUACACGGUAAUUGACACUGAGGCACGAAAGCGUGGGGAGCAAACAGG
rnacentral:rRNA from 1 species